rnacentral:rRNA from 1 species
AGAGUUUGAUCCUGGCUCAGAACGUACGCUGGCGGCACGCCUAACACAUGCAAGUCGAACGAAGUAGCAAUACUUAGUGGCAGACGGGUGAGUAACAUGUGGGUAUCUACCCUUUGGCCUGGAAUAACACGAGGAAACUUGUGCUAAUACCGGAUAAGUCUUUACGGAGAAAGCUUUAUGCACCAUUGGAUGAGCCCGCACUUGAUUAGUUUGUUGGUAGGGUAAUGGCCUACCAAGACUAUGAUCAAUAGCUGAUUUGAGAGGAUGAUCAGCCACAUUGGGACUGAGACACGGCCCAAACUCCUACGGGAGGCAGCAGUGGGGAAUCUUGCACAAUGGAGGAAACUCUGAUGCAGCGAUGCCGCGUGAGUGAAGAAGGCCUUUGGGUUGUAAAGCUCUUUCGUCGGGGAAGAAAAUGACUGUACCCGAAUAAGAAGGUCCGGCUAACUUCGUGCCAGCAGCCGCGGUAAUACGAAGGGACCUAGCGUAGUUCGGAAUUACUGGGCUUAAAGAGUUCGUAGGUGGUUGAAAAAGUUGGUGGUGAAAUCCCAGAGCUUAACUCUGGAACUGCCAUCAAAACUUUUCAGCUAGAGUAUGAUAGAGGAAAGCAGAAUUUCUAGUGUAGAGGUGAAAUUCGUAGAUAUUAGAAAGAAUACCAAUUGCGAAGGCAGCUUUCUGGAUCAUUACUGACACUGAGGAACGAAAGCAUGGGUAGCGAAGAGGAUUAGAUACCCUCGUAGUCCAUGCCGUAAACGAUGUGUGUUAGACGUUGGAAAUUUAUUUUC